GGUCAAGUUACAAAGGGCUAACGGUGGAUACCUAGGCCCCCACAGA
rnacentral:rRNA from 1 species